CCUUUCCUCUGGACUGCCUGGGAGGAUGUGUGUGCUCCUUUCUUGCUUCUUGAGUAGCAGUGAGGAAGGAAUGGAUGCAAGGAUGUGAAGAUUGAUCAGAAAGGCACAUUAUUGCAUGUGAAAAUGAGAUGGAUACAUUUGACACCUGGCUAAAUUCCAGCCAGGUUGUUGUCUUGCGAGAGGGGAUUUAUGUGUGGAAGCUAGCAGGCCGACUGAAUAAAGUGGGGGGAGAGAAGAGGCUUCCUUCAUCUGGAAAUCCGCAGGAUUUUACUGACGUUUCGCUUCAGGGAGUAGAGCUCCAAGGACACCUGUGUGCAUCUGCCUAGAGAUAGGUGUGUGUGUUUUGUGUGUGUGUGUGUGUGUGUGUGUGUGUGUAGGGAGGAGUAGGCAUUUCAUCAAAAAUACAUUUGAAAAAUGUUGGUUCUAAAAUGCAGUCGUUAUCAAUUCGGGCCAGGUGCCAAAGUCACUAACGUGUCCAGGUUCACUCCUGGAAGGCAGCAACAUUCUUGCUUUUGAUGGUACGAAUAUGGCUUCUUUCAUUUCUUUAGCUCUUUAUGGUACUUCUUUUGAGUGAGGCGAGGCUCUAGGUUUCCCCUCCUCCUUUCUUGAUCUCGGCAAACAAAACCAUUCUACCACUUGAGCCAUCUGCCGCAGGUGUAAUGGAUGGCAGGGGGCCGACCUAACCACACUCCAGUCUCUUCUAGGUCGUCACCGCUCUGCACCAAACAAAUGAGUCCUGUUUCACCACUAGGGUGCCGAGGUAGAUGGUGGAUGCUGGCCCCCGCCCCUGGCAGCGCUCAGCGCUUAGAAACCAGAGCCAGCUGACAACACGCGAAACACACAGGCACAGCGAAAACGCCGAGCCGACGCGCACUCCCUCUGCCCCCUCCCUCUGCUCUCUGUAACAAGGAGGACACGUACACAGCCUUUACACACUUAAAAGCCCUUGCGACUCCCUCUGAAUUCUUAGUUACUUAUGACGGCCUUCCUCACUGCACAUAGCCCCUGGUGUGUGUGUGUGUGUGUGUGUGUGUACGCGCGCGCGCGCGCACGCGUGAAUGUGCAUGUGUGUUUAAAACGCUUAUUGGUAGGUCAUCAGCAGCUGAUCAGACAUGGUAAUCCAAUAAUUUUUUUGAAUACACACAAUUUUUCGUUGAAGGUAAUUUUUUUUAAAGAAAAAUGGAAAACUAUUAAUUUUCUGCGCAAGUCUAGGGUUCCCAGUUUAGGUUCCAGAGAACAGCAGAUCUGCGCAGCCCCAGCCUUACCAAACUUUCCUUUUCUAGGGUUUGAAAGAGGCUCUCAUUCUCACUUCAUGACAGAGCAGCGGCUCAUUUGCACUCGGGUGUGUAAAGGAUGGAGCUGUCGGACGCGCCGCUUAGGAAGGGAAAUCGGAUAGCUGGAGCCCCCCGCAGUCGCUCGGAACCUUGGCUGGAGGCACAAGGUGCCCAGGGGCAAGAGCCCGGGGUCCAAGCUUCCAGGCGCACAUCAUCCUCUGGGCCCCGGGCCCUCCGGCUGGAGCACUCCCUCACCCGCAUCCCAUCCCCGUUCCAUUUUGAUCAUUAUUUGAAUAGCCCAGACAACAGUGAUAAGAGAGGAAGUAAAGAGCACGCAGACCCCCGCCCAGCCCGCACCGGUGUUCGCAGUGUCUGGAGCACACACUCCAAACACAUCGGGACCCCCACCCCCAUGAAUUCGCUGUGUUUGAGACUCAGUUUCUGAGGCCAAGAGUUCGUUCUCGGUGGAUCGCCACACGUUGAAAAAUGGAUAUUUGUGUAAGGUCAACAUUCAGGCUAUAGUACAAUGGCAUGGUGGAGAGAAAACACUUUUCAUUGUUUAACAGUUACUGAUUAAACUGCCCUGCAUAUUGAAUAACAUUUUUGAGAAUUUGCCUUUUUUUCUUUAGAAUUAUUAGCCAGUGUUUUAAUGAGGCCUCAGGAUUGGGUUGCAUGGAGGAAAGUGAGGGGUUCAAUAAGGUACAGCUUUGAUAUACAGAACAAUUACAUAAAAGAAGUAAUUUAUUUUUGAAGAGGACAAAAGAAAUUUGGGGUUAUGUUUAAGUACAACUUAGCAGUUGCAAAACUAUGUUUUAAACAGACAAUUUGAUAAUUUGCAUUUCUUUUUUCCCCUCUUAAACCAUUUACAACCUGGGAAAUUUACUCUUGUUAACUAGUAAAACACCUGAAGGCUUGAAUUAGACACCAAGUAGCCGCUGAUGUCCCAACAACCUCCAACCUGCCCCUCUGGAAGGUGUGGAAUCUUUUAUAAGUACUCAAGAAAAGCUCCCAAAGCUCAACUAGGUUCUAUGGUGCCCUCACUGAGGAGUGUGCUUUAAGGUUAUCAGUCUUUUAAGCACCACGUGAUUAGACAGGAAAGGUAACUUGAAAACACAACCUGAUUCUGAGCGAAAUCAUUUUGUCCUGUUGGCAUGAAAAUGUAGUUACACCUCCAAGUUCUGCUCAGGAACAGACGGCUGCGUGUGGGGGCUGGUCCCUAUCCAGAUCAGUACAGGAUCUUCAGCUGGCAGAGGAGAUCCAGCAAAUGGAAUUCACGAAGAAACUCAUGUGCGUUUGGAAAACAAGGUGGGGGAGAGUGCUGCUUCCUGAUUGCUUUCGCUGAGGUCUCCUAUGAUCAUCAAUGGCUUUGGCAACAGCAGGGAAGGCAAAAAUAAUUCACCACCAAACAGUUUUGACCACGACAUAUUUAAUGGGGCUAGUUUGAACUUUGUUUUAAAAAAUUUCCUGGCAGAUAUUAGUCUUCUCCCUGCUUAUCUCUUACAAUAUUUUUUAAAAAUGUCAUUUAUAGGUAGCCAUUGCAUGGGGUUGUGCUACAAUUAACACACAGGUACUGGGGCACUUCAGGCCCAUGUAAAUAUCCAGUGUAAAGGAUUCACCAGAUUUCCUGGCAGCAGCCUCUGCAAAUGGAAGCUGCUCCAGAAAGAGACAUUUUUAUUUGUGUAGCUGUUACUCAAGUCUUUAUAGGUGUGAGUUUUGGGCUGAAUUCACCAGUCCAAAUUAAGGAGUCUGGAUACAUGACACAUCACCUGUAAAUAACCAUGUAGACACCAGCCUCUUUUGCCACAACUCUCCAAAUGUUUGUUUUAAAUCUUCUUAUCACCUUUAAUGAGUGCUCCUUUUAGAACUCAACUCAGAGACUCAAAUUUAGUCUUUGAAUUGGUACUUAAAAAACUAUUCUCUUUUAUCAUUUAAAGGUAAGCCUACUCCCAAAAUUGAGCGUUUCACUUUUAAGGCUCAAACACUUCCUUAGGUCUCUACGAAAGUCUCUUAGGUCUCUUCAAACCAGCCCUUAGCAUCAAAUUUCUUCAUGGCAGUAAUUUGGUACCCACAAGUAAACUGACGGUUUGGAGAGGGAGAUGUUAUCAUUUCUGUUUUCUUUUGUAUCUAAUAAAAUGGAGACUGACUAUAUGAAAUCCCCUUCUAGAGCUUACCAAAAUUGUUUUUUAAAAUUCUCCUGGACGAGAGCCCCGUGGUCUUGCAGCUUAGAAGGGGUUCGGGGGGCUCCGUUUGGCUAAUUUUUAGAGACGUGCUUGGCGGAGGCUGCUCGCAGGUAACGCUUCUGAGAUGAAGGCAGGGCUCUCUGUCGCCUGCAAGGAUAUUUUACCUAGAAUGUCCUGAUUUUGGGUCCAAACUCACACUCUCCCACACUCGUGGGGUGAUAGGUAGGCUAAUAAAAGGCAAAUAGUAAUCAGAAGGGAGCCCCACAGUUUCUACCAGAGGGGUUUUGGCCAGAAAACAAAGGGAGCAGGGGCUGCUCCCUCCUCGUCCCCUGCGCCUGAAAUUCAGGCCGCCUGCAGCUACGGCCUCAGGUGAGUGGCUCAGGGAAGGGUCUCUGAGGCUCUUCCCUGGGCCCCCGGGCCUGUUUUGGGCCGCUCCCUGGGAGUGCUUUGACUUCUGCCGCCAUUCCGCUUCGUCUUUUCCUGCAAUAACACCUGCUGCCACGGAUCGAGUACACCUGACCAGAUGUAGUCAAAAGAAAAGGUCAAGAAAAGAAAAGGAAAGCCCCACCUUUCUUAAUUCCGUUUGGUAAGAGCCAGGGCUGCCAAAUCCAUUACAUAAUGCCAGUUCAAGCUGACACCUGUGCCCGCCCUGGAGCUAGAUCAGGUUCUGGCUACUGCUCCAACCUGGAACGCCGGCUCAGUAGCGCCCAAGUCGAAGGCAAAGGGGAAGAGGAACGAAGUGUGGGAUGCGGGGCGGCCCCUCGUUGGGGUUCAGUUAGGGAUUGGAUUCUGCAGGGAAUGCUCCAAGGGUGGCUCCGUAAUAAUUUGGGACCGCGAUAAAAAAAAAAUAGCCGCAGUUUCGAAGUCCCAGAGCUUUAUCAGGAAGCACUGGACGCCCCUUGCUGCUCCAGACUGGGGCAGGCUUCCAGGGGUGUCCCCUCCGACCCCGUCACGAGCGGAGGACUCACCUGCCGCGGGGCUGCCGGAAACUCUCACUCCCGCCCGCCCCCUGGGUGCUAUUGAUGCGGACCUUGGAGGUGCCUGCGGCGUGGCCUGACACGUGGACGCGGCCCAUAACCCGCCCCGGCUGCUGCUUUCCCCUGAAGGCGGACAAUGGCUUCAUUAAUCGGCCAUCGUUAAACCAACCCAGGAGAAGCCCCAUCCCGCAAUGAGGGAGCGGCAGGCUAAUUUUGCCUACGGCUGAACAGUUGGGGCAAAUGGUGGUUAACACGCUGGAUCCCUCUCUAGUAAAGGCCCGACCGUCCCGAUCUUUGGGGUCCGCACCAAUGAUCCCAUGAAAAAAAAGGUCAGCCCCCAAACUCCUAGGAAUCCACACUGUUCCUCCCCAAACUUCCUGCUCCCCGCUAAGGCAAAAGACCCCGAGCCUUGCAAACCCUUUUGUUAGAACGCGAAUUAAUGUUUCCAAGAUUUUUUCUCAAAAGAAUUAGGAGCUCUAGAGGCGACCCUUCCACUCACUAGGGCACCAUGUCAAAGGGACUUGUCAUGGCGAUUUACAAAUAUCACUAACGUGGACAGCGCUAUUGGAAUGUAACUCGGGCUUGGUUUCAUGCAGUCCUUAAGGAUUUCGUUGAGGCCCUGGAGACGUGACUAAUUCCUCCCAGUCCAUAGUGGGAAAUGCUUAUUGGACUUUUGUUGAGAUAAAAUAAAAUAAAAUAAAAGCUAGACCCAAAGCUUCGUGUGGACCUUACACACACACACACACACACACACACGCGCGCGCGCGCACAAUGAGCAAGAGGCAGUGACCUUCUCUGGACAUCGCAGGCGCCCCCCUCGCUCCCGCGUUAAAAUCACCAGAGUCAAUUCCGGGCAUCCGUCUCCACCAUCAACCCCCGCCCCUUCCCCAUUUCUCAUCAAAAGGCAGGAGAAACGUCAUAUUUUAUAUUUCUUUUCUCCACAUCUGGGCAUUUUCUUGUGCAUCAUAUCCUAAACAAAUAUUCUCCUUUUACAUUCUUGUGCGCCUAGGACGGUGUGGACCUGCGCCCCUCUUCCCCGUAGCGACUGUGUUGGAGAAACUCGCUCGGAGGACCAGUGUGCUGCGGGGGCCAAAACUCACGCUUCCCAGCCUUGGAGAGCUGGAGAACGGAGUCGGGCCCCGCCGAACCUGCGCUCGCAGAGAAUGUUAUCUUCACAGCAACUUAGCAAGCCCCACAGAACAAAAGUUAAAGCGUGAUGGCACUAUACCUUGCCCCGGGUUACUCAGGCGCCUGUCUCCCAUUUUGGACAUGCAGGAAAUGUUGGAUUUGGGGAGGUUUGCUUUGGCUGGGUUUGGGUUGUCUAUAUAAGCCCUGCUGGAGUACUGUACUGAGAAACGCGCCUUGAUGGACUCGGGUGUUAAUUAACGCGCGGCUAAUUUGAGCUUCAGGAGCGGGAGGCGGCCGGUAGCGCCGCGAGCCGCGAGGGGCCAGUGACCUCUAGUGGACAUGAGGAGAUAUGCAGCGCGAGUGAGCGUGUAGCGGAUAAAACUCUUUCCUGAGCAGCUGCUCGCGUGUCUCCUCUGAAUCCAGUGCAAGGGAGGGACACGAGUCCCCAAUUUAAGGGAGAAAGAUAAAUCAGCAAGUGGUGUCGAGCAAAGACCUUAGCUCUUCUGAUGUAUCUGAAAUCUAAAUGCAAUUUAAGCGCGCGUGCACACACACAUUGUUACUUAUCAAUUUUUCCAGCGAGAGAAGGAGAACAUAUGGAAAGGGUUUCAGAAGUGAGCGUAAAUAACUUUGGUUUCUGAACCUAGAGAAAAGCAGGGCUUUCAAAGCUCCGGAGGCACCAGCCAUUCAGGGGAAGGAGUCGGAAUGUUAUUCCGUAAACAAAGUUCAUCGGUACUCCCAAGAUUUUUUUUUUUUUCCUGUAAAGAAUUGAAAAAAAAAAAAAGUAAAAAGCUUAGUUGGGUCAACAACAAGAAAGUAAUGGAGCAAAUGAUGUGUGGAAAGGUCCAGAUGCUCCUGAGUUCACACCCCUCAGGCAAAUAAGAAGACAAAAAUAAGAACAAAAGAAUCCCUUCGCUUAACAAAAAUAAAAUAAAAGGCCAGGAGGAGAAAAUGAUCUGUUUUGGUUUUUUAACCUUCAUUUAUUUCAUUAGUUAGAUAAACUGGUGCAGAAAUUUUUGGAAAGAUCUUCCUGGUUCUUCUGCAAGGGCCAAAAGCAAACCACGGACCUGGUAGUUCACGCAGAAUACCAUUUUUUAAAAUAAACCAAAGUCUGUAUUUUAUCCUUCCCCAUUCCGCAGACCGCAGCAGACUGUGGAAGCUGGCGAGGCCCAGUAAAAUCCCGCGACCCCACAGCCUGAGCGCUCAGGGUUCCACGGUCCAGUAGAGGCUAAGCUGACCUCGCCGACGGCCGCGCUCACUUGGGCCCUUCCUCCCGGGUCUUGUUCUACGGGCGAUUGAGGAUUUCUUAGUCUCUUUCUUCCCUGGUACUCCUCCUUCGAGGGCAGAAGUCUGAAUUACUAGCAGCUACCAGCCGCUUGGAGCGGGAACUUGGAGGUGAUCCGCUCCCCGGGAGUAGCCUGUCCGUCCCAGCUCUCCUCCCUUCUGUGCCUGGCGGUUUUGCGGUACCCGAAUCUGUCCUCAAGGGUUAGGGGAGGGGUGGAUAUGGGGGAUCAGAGACACUGCCUCUUCCCAAACUGUGAGCACAGCCCGCUUGGGGUUGGUUUCACAUCGCUCAGGACUGGGGUUCCACGCCUGGAGCGCAGUUAUCCUGUUGCGCCCGCACGUGCCUCGGGAAGUGCAUCUGGGACCCCAGGUCGGGGACCACCGCGUUAGUGAGGGACAGCCGAGUCGGGGGGCAGUCUCCCCUGGUGGACAGUAUAAAGUUUGGACAGCAGGGGAAGGAAGAGCGGAACUGGAGGUUGGGGGAGGCUAGAGAGCAAUGUUUGCUCUCUGAACUUUUCCUUCUCCCCUUUGCGCCUUCGGAAAUGGCCUGGGAGUUAGCAGAGGUAGGGAAGCUGCUGUAAGAGCGAAACGUCGCCCCACUUGGCGGUGUCCGGGUCUCACAGUAGGCUCGGGUCACAGGAUGGAGGGGGUAGGGGUUCAGCUCCGCCGAGAGAGGGAGCUACCGUCCCCUCCUUUCUCGGCCGGAGACGUUAAGGGUCCCCGGUGAAUGACACCGUCCAGGAUCAGAAGUCAGUGGUGGCUAUACUCGGAAUAAGGCUGACAGUUCGCAGUGAGGGAAAACGUGUAACCUGGCAGGAUGAGGAACACGCGAUGAAAAUGAACCCAGGGAAACCGAAGAUUUCUAAGAGCUGUAUUUUAUUGUGGUCCAAAGAAAGGACUGAGAGCUGCUUAAGGGAAAUAGCAUUUAUAAAGCCAAACAUUAAAUAUAUGUUACAACAGAAAUACAAUCUUAAUGGAUAUAACUGAAUUGCAAUAGUUUAAGAAACAGUCUUUUCAGAAAACUAAACAGCGAGCAAAACAACGUUCAAUUUUAAAAAGCCCAGACGUGACUCACACAGCAACCGCCUAUGGGAAAGCAGUAGUUUUCCUUGACCCUCCCUAUACUGCGCCCCGGGAGCUCCCUGUAACCCCAGAGCAGAAAAAUCCACCAACUUUGGAAUCGAGUCAGAAAAACAAAACAAACAAAACCAUGUGGACCCCCAAGCAAGAAUUCACUAACAUUCCUGCCGGCCUUGCUUAACCUCCAUGCCCCUGGAAAGUGGCGCGAAUCACUCUUGGCACCAUUUGGGGCUCACAAAAAGGACCCACCUCCUGUUGGCCAGGCAAGCGCACACCUGAGGCAAGAGGACCAGAAGUGGAGAACAAACUGCUCAAGUUCCAGCAGUCUCCAAAUCAGAGCCCCUAUUAGCUUGGGUCCUUGCAAACUUGGGCACUCGCCUUUGGCCACGUAGCUGCCCUUUUCACCCUGCCACCAGAAACAAAGUGAACGCUCUUCUUUUCUCUGUAAGCUGGAACUUACCAAGGGCAUACUUGAGCCUACCAGGCCCCGAGGACCCCAUUUCAGGCCCAAAUGUGCCAGUUUUACCCUUGCUGGGGGUGCGCACUGCAGUCUUCAUCAACCAACUUCUAAGUGGGUGCCAAUGAGGAGCAGCCUCACGCUUUUUCUGCAGAGAGAAGGUAGAGAGAGAUGAGGGCUUUCGGUGUGGCCCUGUGACCCCAGGCUACUAUCCCAGGCUAUGGCACGUCUUCGCCAGAAAAGCAGCGACCGAGUUAUUUCCCGGUUGACAAUGCCCAGCAGCCGGGUCCUGUUAUUAUAGGGGUUAUUAGAGGGGUCGCCUUCUUCUCUAAUGGUUCCUGUUCAGAGUUUUCCCCCAGUAAGAUUUAGAAAAGACUGGACUUGAACACUUUACCUCCCAGAGUCUCUUAGAACCUGGCCCCGGAGUCGUCUCCCCUACACUCCCCCUCCCACCCCCACCCUGUUGUCCCUCAGCUGCUGGUGCGGAUGGAAAGACUCAAAGACAGACAAGAACCCCCCACCAGCCCCCACACGCUGGGAACAGGAUCGACAAUCUUUCCCAGUUUCUUGCGGAAAAUUUUCACAUGUACACACAAAAUCUGCAGUCCGAGAUAAUAGGUGAUGAGCCGUCCUGGGAACGGUGUCGCAGGCUGAGGACGUCCAAGACCUGGCGAGUCUCGGGUCAGAGGAGCGGGAGGGGGCGACCCGAGGCUCCGCGCCCCGGCUCUGUGCUGGCGGGUGGUGCUGGCUAUUUCUCUCUGCUCCCAACUAUUACAUUUCUUUUUUCCUUCGUCUUGGCUAGAGUUAUACAUUUUAUGUGUGGGGCGAUUUAGAAAACAAAAUUGGACUAUAUAAGCUAUUCCAUAUAUAAAAAAGAACCCAAAAAACCUCGCGUUUUUUUUUCUCUUGUGUUUUCCUCACUUUUCUUUUUCUCAAACUGCAAAAUUUUAGUGCUUGAAUGGCGAAUGGGGAAAAGGACCGGCCGGAGACUGAGGCACGGAACGGAGGUCUGAAAGUGAAUUUUUCAAUGCCUAGUUUACCCUUGAUGUCGCAUUCCAUCUUAAAUGGCCACGAUGAUGAUAAUCUGAGCAGUAAUAUUAGUCGAUUUUCCUGCUGUAUAGUGCGGCUUGGAGAAGUCUUGGGAAUCAAACGGCAUGAACUGAGAUUCCUGUUACACAACUUUUCAAUGAGAGAGUGAGGAAUACCUCACUCAGUCUUCGGGAACGGAGCCUUCAAAAACCCUUGUAAGGCCGGGCGCGGUGGCUCACGCAUGUAAUCCCAGCACUUUGGAAGGCCGAGACGGGCGGAUCACGAGGUCAGGAGUUCAAGCCUUGCCAACAUGGUGAAACCCCGUCUCUACUAAAAAUACAAAAAUUAGCUGGGCAUGGUGGCGCGCGCCUGUAAUCUCAGCUACUCGGGAGGCUGAGGCAGGAGAAUCGCUUGAACCGGGACCCGGGAAGCAGAGGUUGCAUUGAGCCGAGAUCGCGCCACUGCACUCCAGCCUGGGCUACAGAGCGAGACUCCGUCUCAAAAAAAAAAAGAAAGAAAGAAGAAGAAAGAAAGAAAGAAAGAAAGAAAGAAAGAAAGAAAGAAAGAAAGAAAGAAAGAAAGAAAAGAAAGAAAAGAAAAGAAAAGAAAAGAAAAAGAAAAAACCCUUGUGAGCGGCCUAAAAACUGUCCUGUGAGCAUCUCAUCUCCAUACUGGCGCUGCCACCCGCACGGACCGUCCAACUUCGCACUGUUCCAUUUUCUCUAUGUGCUUUUCAGCCCAUCCUUGGAGUUGCUCUUUAAGGAGGACUUUCGGAAUGAAACUCCACACUGCGGUUCAAAGACGCGCUUAGGACGCCCCGGGAUGGAGAGAGGACUGAGCUUUGACUGGAAUUCCUGGAACAGACGAGGGCUUGUGAGCUUGGCCCAGGCAUUGAGGACUGCAUACUCUUCCCGACAAGGGCACUUGGGUCGAAAGAAGGUGGAGCGGGUCUUCCGCAAAGGCGAAACCCUGGAGAACGCUGCCCCACCCCACCAUGUGAGCGCGGACGAGUAAUAAUCUCCUGGCCUCAGUUUCCCUCCUGUGCUUUAGAUCAAUUUUAAGAAGCUUUAUUUUUUCUAAGAUGAUUUUCCCUACAUAUUUCUUGUCUCCCUCACUGCCAUUCCCGCCCCUCCCCCCCAAAAAUACAUUGUAAAUCUUUUUCUUCCUACGGUUAAUUUUAAAGAACCACAAAAGUUUGCAUAAGACAGAAUUUACCUGCCCAUAUAUUUCUGUUGAAGGUGGAAAAUUGUUUUUACGUGACAAGUUUUAUUUCUAUUGAUUUUUAAAAAUUUUAUCUGGAAAGAAUUUGGCUCAUGAGCUAAAUAAUAUAGUUACCAUUUGCUUAACAAUUUUUAAGCUCUAGGCAUUGAGGUAAAUGCUUUAUAUAUUUUUUCUUACUCAGUCUGAGAACAACCAUGUAAAAUAGGGUUUUUCCUUCUGUUUUUCUUCCUCCUCUUCUUUCCAAUUUGAAAACUGAGGCAGAGACAUUAUAUGGCUUUCACAAAGGAAUAGAGCUAGUAAGUGGCAGAGGCAGAGUCUGAACACAACUACCAACCACUAAGUGGAAGCUCUUAGCAGAGGUCAGCUGGGUUUUCAAGUAAGGCUAUAACUGCUGAAGAGUAGCCCUUCAACCUAUGGUACUUGGUUGCCCAUUAUAAAGGAAAGCUGUGUAGUAAUUUGACUUUAUAUACCUUAAGAAAUAAUCACAGCAAAAAAAAAACCCCUAAAAAUAAUCUUUAGCUGUUAAGCAAUCAUCAUAUUGCUAGUUGCAGUAAUUCAUAUUUUGCAACUGUUUAUAUAUUAUGAGAUAAAGCAAGUAAGUCAUUAUAUUGGUGUCUUACAGAACUGAAAUUUUUCAUUAUAAGAAAAAAGGAAAUACAGGUGGAAGAUUAUGGAAAUCAAAUAAAAAUCUUACAGCCCCGGAAAGAAAAAAAAAAAAAAAAAGGAAAGCUAUGGUUAAGAAGCAAGAGUAGAAGCUGUGAGUAGUUACUACCAGUACAGAAAGCUUGAAACAGACUUGUAUUCCCACCCCAAUCAAUGCUUCUCACAGAAGCACAUUGAAUCCUCUGUUAUGUUAAUUCUGGCAAUCUCUAUCUCUUCUGGGUCAUACCAUCAAAACUCUGAAAGCAAUUCAAACAUUUUGCCACUCCCUUUGACUGUUUAUCUUUUAAAUCUGAGAUUAGAAUUGUGAAACACAUAAUGGAUUGAUAUAAAGAAGAAAUCAAGCACCAGGAAUAAAGAUUACAAAAGAGUGAGCUCCUUGAAGGUUGUUGGUAAUAGACCAAUCAUGCCAACACACAAAAAAUUAAAUAAUACUUUAAUUAAAUUUCAUACUUUUAAUAAAUUACUUUCAUCUUGUUAGUUCUGAUCUAGAAUAUCUUUGUAUUUAACAUAAAUGAGAUAAAAUUAUAAAAAGAGAUUCAUCCUCUAUUUUACAUUAUAACAUGCGUAAAGUAAAAUUUCAAAAAUUUAAAUAAAUGUGUCAGAAUAUUCAUGGAAAGUAUUCAUCUGUGAGAUUAUGUACUUAUUUGAAUAAAGUGUCUUUUUACAAUA